AAUCAAGUGUAGUAUCUGUUCUUUUUCAGUUUAAAAUCUGAAUACGUCCCCCCAUCGGGGGGAAUACAUAUUAAAUGGAUUUUUCGAACAGGGAGUCGGAAAUGGGGCUUGCUCCGUCCGCUCCACGCAUCGACCCGGUAUUGCAGUACCUCCGGGAAUGGUGCAACACUU
rnacentral:snRNA from 8 species